rnacentral:rRNA from 1 species
GCGAACUUGGCAGAGAUGCCUUGGUGCCUUCGGGAACGCUGAGACAGGUGCUGCAUGGCUGUCGUCAGCUCGUGUUGUGAAAUGUUGGGUUAAGUCCCGCAACGAGCGCAACCCUUAUCCUUGUUGCCAGCGAUUCGGUCGGGAACUCAAAGGAGACUGCCGGUGAUAAACCGGAGGAAGGUGGGGAUGACGUCAAGUCAUCAUGGCCCUUACGAGUAGGGCUACACACGUGCUACAAUGGCGCAUACAAAGAGAAGCGACCUCGCGAGAGCAAGCGGACCUCAUAAAGUGCGUCGUAGUCCGGAUCGGAGUCUGCAACUCGACUCCGUGAAGUCGGAAUCGCUAGUAAUCGUGGAUCAGAAUGCCACGGUGAAUACGUUCCCGGGCCUUGUACACACCGCCCGUCACACCAUGGGAGUGGGUUGCAAAAGAAGUAGGUAGCUUAACCUUCGGGAGGGCGCUUACCACUUUGUGAUUCAUGACUGGGGUGAAGUCGUAACAAGGUAGGCGUAGCGAG